UAGGGAAUUUUCGUCAAUGGGGGAAACCCUGAACGAGCAAUGCCGCGUGAGUGAAGAAGGUCUUCGGAUCGUAAAGCUCUGUUGUAAGUGAAGAACGGCUCAUAGAGGAAAUGCUAUGGGAGUGACGGUAGCUUACCAGAAAGCCACGGCUAACUACGUGCCAGCAGCCGCGGUAAUACGUAGGUGGCAAGCGUUAUCCGGAAUCAUUGGGCGUAAAGGGUGCGUAGGUGGCGUACUAAGUCUGUAGUAAAAGGCAAUGGCUCAACCAUUGUAAGCUAUGGAAACUGGUAUGCUGGAGUGCAGAAGAGGGCGAUGGAAUUCCAUGUGUAGCGGUAAAAUGCGUAGAUAUAUGGAGGAACACCAGUGGCGAAGGCGGUCGCCUGGUCUGUAACUGACACUGAGGCACGAAAGCGUGGGGAGAAAAUAGG
rnacentral:rRNA from 1 species